rnacentral:rRNA from 1 species
UAAACGACUCUCGGCAACGGAUAUCUUGGCUCACGCAUCGAUGAAGAACGUAGCAAAAUGCGAUACUUGGUGUGAAUUGCAGAAUCCCGUGAACCAUCGAGUUUUUGAACGCAAGUUGCGCCCGAGGCCUUUUGGUUGAGGGCACGUCUGCCUGGGCGUCACAC